rnacentral:lncRNA from 1 species
GGGGACUUCAGCGACCUGGAACGUCCUGUUCCCUGCAGCCCGCCGUGCACAUGGCACCUGGCGCCGCACAGCUACAGCCCCGCACCCCCGGGCGUUCACACUGAGCGACCCGCUCCUGCAGCUUCCCCCAGCCACACGGGACCGGGAUUUUUGACUGCUAGGGGUGAAGUGACCUCUUAGAGGGAACAAGGAUAAAAACCUUGCGUCUUUGAUCUCCGGAGCUCUGAGAAAAUGGAGAGCCUUAGAGGCCCCUAUAUAGGUAAGACCUGUUUUAAAAUAAAUUUACAUAAUUAAUUAGCCA